rnacentral:rRNA from 1 species
GACGAACGCUGGCGGCGUGCUUAACACAUGCAAGUCUAACGGAAAGGCCCUGCUUUUGUGGGGUGCUCGAGUGGCGAACGGGUGAGUAACACGUGAGUAACCUGCCCUUGACUUUGGGAUAACUUCAGGAAACUGGGGCUAAUACCGGAUAGGAGCUCCUGCUGCAUGGUGGGGGUUGGAAAGUUUCGGCGGUUGGGGAUGGACUCGCGGCUUAUCAGCUUGUUGGUGGGGUAGUGGCUUACCAAGGCUUUGACGGGUAGCCGGCCUGAGAGGGUGACCGGCCACAUUGGGACUGAGAUACGGCCCAGACUCCUACGGGAGGCAGCAGUGGGGAAUAUUGCACAAUGGGCGGAAGCCUGAUGCAGCAACGCCGCGUGCGGGAUGACGGCCUUCGGGUUGUAAACCGCUUUCGCCUGUGACGAAGCGUGAGUGACGGUAAUGGGUAAAGAAGCACCGGCUAACUACGUGCCAGCAGCCGCGGUGAUACGUAGGGUGCGAGCGUUGUCCGGAUUUAUUGGGCGUAAAGGGCUCGUAGGUGGUUGAUCGCGUCGGAAGUGUAAUCUUGGGGCUUAACCCUGAGCGUGCUUUCGAUACGGGUUGACUUGAGGAAGGUAGGGGAGAAUGGAAUUCCUGGUGGAGCGGUGGAAUGCGCAGAUAUCAGGAGGAACACCAGUGGCGAAGGCGGUUCUCUGGGCCUUUCCUGACGCUGAGGAGCGAAAGCGUGGGGAGCGAACAGGCUUAGAUACCCUGGUAGUCCACGCUGUAAACGGUGGGUACUAGGUGUGGGGUCCAUUCCACGGGUUCCGUGCCGUAGCUAACGCUUUAAGUACCCCGCCUGGGGAGUACGGCCGCAAGGCUAAAACUCAAAGGAAUUGACGGGGCCCCGCACAAGCGGCGGAGCAUGCGGAUUAAUUCGAUGCAACGCGUAGAACCUUACCUGGGUUUGACAUGGAUCGGGAGUGCUCAGAGAUGGGUGUGCCUCUUUUGGGGUCGGUUCACAGGUGGUACAUGGCUGUCGUCAGCUCGUGUCGUGAGAUGUUGGGUUAAGUCCCGCAACGAGCGCAACCCUUGUUCACUGUUGCCAGCACGUUAUGGUGGGGACUCAGUGGAGACCGCCGGGGUCAACUCGGAGGAAGGUGGGGAUGACGUCAAGUCAUCAUGCCCCUUAUGUCCAGGGCUUCACGCAUGCUACAAUGGCUGGUACAGAGAGUGGCGAGCCUGUGAGGGUGAGCGAAUCUCGGAAAGCCGGUCUCAGUUCGGAUUGGGGUCUGCAACUCGACCUCAUGAAGUCGGAGUCGCUAGUAAUCGCAGAUCAGCAACGCUGCGGAAAUACGUUCCCGGGGCU